rnacentral:rRNA from 1 species
UACAACGGGAUACCCGAGGGAAACUUCGGUUAAUACGGUAUAAGACCACACUACCGCAUGGUAGAGGGGUAGAAGGGGCAACCUGGUAUGAGAUGGACUCGCGUCGCAUUAGCUAGUUGGUGAGGUAACGGCCCACCAAGGCGACGAUGCGUAGCCGACCUGAGAGGGUGAUCGGCCACAUUGGGACUGAGAUACGGCCCAGACUCCUACGGGAGGCAGCAGUGGGGAAUAUUGGGCAAUGGAGGAAACUCUGACCCAGCAAUGCCGCGUGAAUGAAGAAGGUCUUCGGAUUGUAAAGUUCUUUAGUCAGGGAAGAAGUCAAUGACGGUACCUGAAGAAUAAGCUCCGGCUAACUACGUGCCAGCAGCCGCGGUAAUACGUAGGGAGCAAGCGUUGUUCGGAAUGACUGGGCGUAAAGGGUGCGUAGGCGGUUGUACAAGUUAGAAGUGAAAUACCCAGGGCUUAACUCGGGUGCUGCUUCUAAAACUGUAUGACUUGAGUGCAGUAGAGGUUAGUGGAAUUCCUAGUGUAGCGGUGGAAUGCGUAGAUAUUAGGAGGAACACCAGAGGCGAAGGCGGCUAACUGGACUGCAACUGACGCUGAGGCACGAAAGUGUGGGGAGCAAACAGGAUUAGAUACCCUGGUAGUCCACACUGUAAACGAUGGAUACUAGAUGUAGGAGGUAUCGACUCCUUCUGCGUCGCAGU